rnacentral:rRNA from 1 species
CCUACGGGUGGCAGCAGUGGGGAAUAUUGGACAAUGGGGGCAACCCUGAUCCAGCCAUGCCGCGUGUGUGAAGAAGGCCCUCGGGUUGUAAAGCACUUUCAGUGAGGAAGAACGCCUGGUGGUUAAUACCCAUCAGGAAAGACAUCACUCACAGAAGAAGCACCGGCUAACUCCGUGCCAGCAGCCGCGGUAAUACGGAGGGUGCGAGCGUUAAUCGGAAUUACUGGGCGUAAAGCGCGCGUAGGUGGCUUGAUAAGCCGGUUGUGAAAGCCCCGGGCUCAACCUGGGAACGGCAUCCGGAACUGUCAAGCUAGAGUGCAGGAGAGGAAGGUAGAAUUCCCGGUGUAGCGGUGAAAUGCGUAGAGAUCGGGAGGAAUACCAGAGGCGAAGGCGGCCUUCUGGACUGACACUGACACUGAGGUGCGAAAGCGUGGGUAGCAAACAGGAUUAGAUACCCUUGUAGUC